rnacentral:rRNA from 1 species
UACGAAGGGAGCUAGCGUUGUUCGGAAUCACUGGGCGUAAAGCGCACGUAGGCGGCUGUGUCAGUCAGGGGUGAAAUCCCGGAGCUCAACUUCGGAACUGCCUUUGAUACAGCACGUCUUGAGUCCGAUAGAGGUGGGUGGAAUUCCUAGUGUAGAGGUGAAAUUCGUAGAUAUUAGGAAGAACACCAGUGGCGAAGGCGGCUCACUGGCCCGAUACUGACGCUGAGGCACGAAAGCGUGGGGAGCAAACAGG